rnacentral:rRNA from 1 species
ACCCCAAACCGACACAGGUGGUCAGGUAGAGAAUACCAAGGCGCUUGAGAGAACUCGGGUGAAGGAACUAGGCAAAAUGGUGCCGUAACUUCGGGAGAAGGCACGCUGACACGUAGGUGAAGUGAUUUACUCAUGGAGCUGAAGUCAGUCGAAGAUACCAGCUGGCUGCAACUGUUUAUUAAAAACACAGCACUGUGCAAACACGAAAGUGGACGUAUACGGUGUGACGCCUGCCCGGUGCCGGAAGGUUAAUUGAUGGGGUCAGCGCAAGCGAAGCUCCUGAUCGAAGCCCCGGUAAACGGCGGCCGUAACUAUAACGGUCCUAAGGUAGCGAAAUUCCUUGUCGGGUAAGUUCCGACCUGCACGAAUGGCGUAAUGAUGGCCAGGCUGUCUCCACCCGAGACUCAGUGAAAUUGAACUCGCUGUGAAGAUGCAGUGUACCCGCGGCAAGACGGAAAGACCCCGUGAACCUUUACUAUAGCUUGACACUGAACAUUGAGCCUUGAUGUGUAGGAUAGGUGGGAGGCUUUGAAGUGUGGACGCCAGUCUGCAUGGAGCCGACCUUGAAAUACCACCCUUUAAUGUUUGAUGUUCUAACGUGGACCCGUUACCCGGGUUGCGGACAGUGUCUGGUGGGUAGUUUGACUGGGGCGGUCUCCUCCUAAAGAGUAACGGAGGAGCACGAAGGUUGGCUAAUCCUGGUCGGACAUCAGGAGGUUAGUGCAAUGGCAUAAGCCAGCUUGACUGCGAGCGUGACGGCGCGAGCAGGUGCGAAAGCAGGUCAUAGUGAUCCGGUGGUUCUGAAUGGAAGGGCCAUCGCUCAACGGAUAAAAGGUACUCCGGGGAUAACAGGCUGAUACCGCCCAAGAGUUCAUAUCGACGGCGGUGUUUGGCACCUCGAUGUCGGCUCAUCACAUCCUGGGGCUGAAGUAGGUCCCAAGGGUAUGGCUGUUCGCCAUUUAAAGUGGUACGCGAGCUGGGUUUAGAACGUCGUGAGACAGUUCGGUCCCUAUCUGCCGUGGGCGCUGGAGAACUGAGGGGGGCUGCUCCUAGUACGAGAGGACCGGAGUGGACGCAUCACUGGUGUUCGGGUUGUCAUGCCAAUGGCACUGCCCGGUAGCUAAAUGCGGAAGAGAUAAGUGCUGAAAGCAUCUAAGCACGAAACUUGCCCCGAGAUGAGUUCUCCCUGAGACUUAGAGUCUCCUGAAGGAACGUUGAAGACGACGACGUUGAUAGGCCGGGUGUGUAAGCGCAGCGAUGCGUUGAGCUAACCGGUACUAAUGAACCGUGAGGCUUAACCUU